rnacentral:rRNA from 1 species
GACGAACGCUGGCGGCGUGCUUAACACAUGCAAGUCGAACGAUGAACCCGGAGCUUGCUCCGGCGGAUUAGUGGCGAACGGGUGAGUAACACGUGAGUAACCUGCCCUUGACUCUGGGAUAACUGCGGGAAACUGUAGCUAAUACCGGAUACGACCCUCGGCGGCAUCGCCAGGGGGUGGAAAGAAUUUCGGUCAAGGAUGGACUCGCGGCCUAUGAGCUAGUUGGUGUGGUAACGGCUCACCAAGGCGACGACGGGUAGCCGGCCUGAGAGGGUGACCGGCCACACUGGGACUGAGACACGGCCCAGACUCCUACGGGAGGCAGCAGUGGGGAAUAUUGCACAAUGGGCGCAAGCCUGAUGCAGCAACGCCGCGUGAGGGAUGACGGCCUUCGGGUUGUAAACCUCUUUUAGUAGGGAAGAAGCGAAAGUGACGGUACCUGCAGAAAAAGUACCGGCUAACUACGUGCCAGCAGCCGCGGUAA